UUUUGCCUUUUGGUAGGCCGUCUUUGUAAAUAAGAAUGUGUUCUUAACUGACUUGCCUAGUUAAAUAAAGUUUAAAUAAAAAAUAAAUAUACAUCACCCUUGUCGUCCUCAAAUGCAGCCAUGGCUUCUGUGAGGAGUGUCUAUAGAAAUACUGGAAGUAUAUGGACAAUCUGCUGUGUCCUGUAUGCAGGAACGAGUGUUCUAUUGAUGAACCUAGCCUAAGUUUGGCCUUAAAGAGUCUCUGAGAAUCGUUGCAGAGAGGGAGUGAAAAGGAGAAAGUAUCUCAGGACAAUUGCCAGCAACAUGGAACUCUUCUGUUUUGAUGACAAGCCGUUCAUCUGUGUUGUCUGUCACACAUCAAAGAAACAUAAAGGCCAUGACUGCUGUCCCAUUGAGGAGGCUCUGCCUGAUUUGAAGCGUGUGAGUUCCACUUUGAAGAAGGAAUUAAAAAACAUGAACACAGCCAAGAUGUACCAUCCAACCUGGGAGGAGCAUAUACGGGUAUCUGUCAUUUAAAAAAAUAAGUUUUGAAAUGUAGAAACAUUUGAGCAGUGUUCAAGUUUGGUCAAGUCCAUUAUGGUCAAGUCCAGUGUGGAGAGGAGCAGAUGAGGGGGGAGUUUAAGACACCACCAGUUCCCGGAACAGGAAGAGACAGCGAGGACAGCUGCCCUGAGAAAGGAAGAGCAACAGAAAUGUCAAGUGAUGCGAGAAAGAGCUGAGCCGUUGACCAAGCAGAUUUCAACCCUAAUAGAGACUAUUCAAAUGAUCAAGGAAAUGGAAGUUGACAAUAUCACAUUCCUUCCGAGCCGAAAGCACAGCAACAGACACUGCAGAUGCUGAGAUAGUGUCCGGAGAAUUCAUUGACAUGGCCAAGCAUGUGGGAUCUCUGAAAUCCAAGGUCUGGAAGAAGAUGCUUCGGAUCGUUUACUAUAGAAAGUCCAUGUUUUUCACAAAUGUUGUUUUUUAAUAUCUUACUGUAGCAAAUAAGGCCACAAUACUUUGGAAAUAAAUGUAUUUUUUCAAUAGUUAUUUGAAAUGGUUUUAUCUCCCAUUACACCCACACACUUCAGUAUUAAAGUACAAUAUAAAAGUACAAUGAACUUUCCCCUUAAAGCUUCAGUGACCAUUGAUCCAAACAGCGUCUGCAAGGCUCAUACUGACUCGUGACCUGACCACUGUGACAUACAGUGAGGAGAGGCAGAACAUUCCAGAAAAUCCUGAGAGGCUUAAAAUGGGAGUGUUGGGUUCUGAAGGGUACAGUAAAGGCAGACAUUUUUGGGAUGUAGAGGUAGGAUAAAGUGAUAACUGGACCCUGGGAGUCGGCAAAGAGUCCAUUGUGCGCAGCAUGUCACUCAAAAUGUAGAUUGUGGAGCAUCAGAUAUAUUAGUGGGACAUGCGUAAACGCAGACAUCCAGAUCAAGUUGGAUGAGAGCCCACCAGUGAUCAGAGCACGUCUGGACUGUGACAAGGGGGAGCUGACAUUCUGCAAUCCCACUAAGAGCACUACUCUGUACACCUUCAAUGAUACAUUCACUGAAAACGUGUUCCCAUACUUUUACAGUACCAAUCAGUUUGUCCCACUGUGCCUUUUGUCAGUUAGCCCCAACUUUGGGCAGAACAUAAACAUGAGUGGAGACAGGUUGCUAAGUUUAUAAUAUGUGGGGACAAAUAUCUACUAACAUGUUAUUUAGUUGAUGUAUCAACUGUAGGGACCCCAUUGUGUGAACUUUAGUUGAAUCCAGUUCCGUGUAAAUAGCUGUAAGACUUGCCUCAACACAAAGCAUACUAUGGAUAUAAGUAGUGUAAUCUAAUUGAUGCCAAUGGAAUGUGGUAUGGUAACAACUGUCUAUCUCAUAAUGCUUGUACAAGUGUUUACAACAGUUGUAACAGUAUGUAAAAUAUGUAAAGUACAGUC